UACGAAGGGGGCUAGCGUUGUUCGGAAUUACUGGGCGUAAAGCGCACGCAGGCGGUCUUUUAAGUUCUGAGUGACAGGUGGGGGCUUAACUCCCACAGGCCUUGGAAAACUGGAGGACUUGAGGACGAGAGAGGGAUGCGGAAUUCCAGGUGGAGCGGUGAAAUGCGUAGAGAUCUGGAAGAACACCAAAGGCGAAGGCAGCAUCCUGGAUCACUCCUGACGCUCAGGUGCGAAAGCUAGGGGAGCGAACGGG
rnacentral:rRNA from 1 species